AUCCAGCUGACUCACCCCAAAUAGGACGAAACACGCGUCCUGGAU
rnacentral:hammerhead_ribozyme from 1 species